AGAGUGAACGCUGGCGGCAGGCCUAACACAUGCAAGUCGAGCGGCAGCACAGUCGUAGCAAUACGAUGGGUGGCGAGCGGCGGACGGGUGAGGAAUGCAUCGGAAUCUACCUUGUUGUGGGGGAUAACGUAGGGAAACUUACGCUAAUACCGCAUAAGACCGAGAGGUGAAAGGCGGGGGACCUGCAAGGGCCUCGCGCGACAAGAUGAGCCGAUGCCGGAUUAGCUAGUUGGUGGGUAAAGGCCCACCAAGGCGACGAUCCGUAGCUGGUCUGAGAGGAUGAUCAGGGGGCCACACUAGGAACUAGAGACACGGUCCAGACUCCGUACGGAGGCAGCAGGUGGGAAUAGUUGGACAAGUGGGCG
rnacentral:rRNA from 1 species